rnacentral:tRNA from 1 species
GGGGGUAUAGCUCAGUGGUAGAGCAUUUGACUGCAGAUUAAAACAAGACCAAUGGCUUAUGCAUUCACUUUAGGUCAUACAUUUUAGGGUUCUAUAGGAUUGCAUGGUGAAGGAUACUUCCA